rnacentral:tRNA from 1 species
GGCUGUAGCUCAGUGGCAGGGCACUUGCCUAGCAUGUGUGAGGCACUGGGUUUGAUCCUCAGCACCA